AGAAACAGACGCUCUGAACUCCUGCCCCAAUACUGUAAAUGUACAGCCAUGUAAAUGAGAGACAGAUGCUCAUGUGGCUUUGGAGAGAAAAAGCAUGAAGGGCACAGAACUUUAAAAAAUGGAUGAGAAUCCUACAGGAUCGUACAGCAUUAUGGGGAGCGAGUGUGUGGGUUAAGAGCAUUGAGAAUUACCCAUUCAAAAGAAAAAUCCUGGAAGUUUCCUUAAACGCCUCUUCGCUUUUAUUGAUUACAUAUGCAUAGUGUAUUGAUAUUAAGGUCCUUUUGGCUGUUUUCCAUAAAUCUAGCAUUAUGAAUAUUUCAUUCCUCCGAGACUUCUCUCCUCCUGGAGCUUUGGAGUGUGACAAUGGUGUUUGUAUCCAAUCUGUCAAACGCCAUUAUCACACUAAAUAGCUACUGUUAGAUAAACCAUCAGAUGCAGGAAAAAAGGAGGAGGAGCAGGUGUUGAUGGUAACAGAGGAAGAUAACAAUAUUUGAGAAAUGCAUUAUCUGGCAGCUAUGAGAGAAUACCACAAUAACAUGUUAUGACAACUCUGCUUUUCAUUGCCAAAAUAUCAUGCAAUAAAUCAUAUGUUCUGUUUCUUAAGAAUGCACAUGGUGAUCCAGCUAAUUUUGCUGAGAUGGUAUGACUCAAAUGUACGUUCAUCAAUGGCAGGACUGCUCAAGAGCAAAUUAGUAUGUAAAUUAAUUAGAAAAAAACAGCCUACGUACCACUGUCUCUCAUUUUCUUUCCUCCCUCUCCAAUCCAAACAACAUUAUUAAGUAUUCAUUCAAUUUAUUAAUAAGUUAAUAGUUAUGGCUAUUUUAGCCUGAAGCAGUAGCUCUCUUGUUGCAUUGAUCUUAGAUAAAUAAGUUGAAUCAUGAAAGCAUAAUUCUUUCUGGGACUCAGCUGUGAAUACAUUCAUCAUUGAGCCAAAUGGUAAAGAAAAUAGCAGCCAACUUCUCACAUUGUCUGAAAUUUGGCAGAAAAGUAGCCGAGAUCCAUUCCCAUAACUGGAAAAUAAAUAUUCCAUUGUUGGGUGGCCUAUUUCUUUGAAAUAAAAGGAAGAUGGGAAUUGUGCUGCAAAUACAAUUAACUGGGCAUGUUCAUAUCCAAUCUCUAAUUUCCACUGUUGACAGUACUAUUCCAAUCUGAUUUGGCAACUUCAUCAAAAUCAUCAAUUUCUUCUUUAUCAUCAUCAUCAUAUAUCAUCAUCUCAUACAUAGGCAAAAUAUCUAGUAAGUAUCCAUAACAAGAAGUCAUUGUACUUUUUAUCAGCUGGUUGGGUUGUAAUUAUAAGUUUGGUCUAUGUAAUGUAUUUAAUUUAUGUAUGUACUUACUAAGUUUUUAGGCUGCUGUAAUCAUAGCUUUCUCUGAGAAUGAUAUCAAAAUCAGUUUUCCUAUUAAUCUAUUUUUCUAUUCAAGAGAGAGCCCAAUUCUGGCUUACCAAUUCAUUUGGUAUAAUAAAACGUUUAUAAAUA